AACGAACGCUGGCGGCAUGCCUAACACAUGCAAGUCGAACGAGACCUUCGGGUCUAGUGGCGCACGGGUGCGUAACGCGUGGGAACCUGCCUUUAGGUUCGGAAUAACUCAGAGAAAUUUGAGCUAAUACCGGAUAAUGUCUUCGGACCAAAGAUUUAUCGCCUUUAGAUGGGCCCGCGUUGGAUUAGCUAGUUGGUGGGUAAAGCCUACCAAGGCGACGAUCCAUAGCUGGUCUGAGAGGAUGAUCAGCCACACUGGGACUGAGACACGGCCCAGACUCCUACGGAGGCAGCAGUGGGGAAUAUUGGACAAUGGGCGAAAGCCUGAUCCAGCAAUGCCGCGUGAGUG
rnacentral:rRNA from 1 species